rnacentral:rRNA from 1 species
GCAAGUCGAACGGAAGUCGUUGUAAUGAUAUAGACAUGGACUGAGAACUUGUUCAAAGAAAAUGAAAGUUGACUUACAACAAUGGCUUUAGUGGCGGACUGGUGAGUAACACGUAAGCAACCUGCCUAUCAGAGGGGAACAACAGUUAGAAAUGACUGCUAAUACCGCAUAUGCCUUAGUAACACAUGUUACAAAAGGGAAAGGAGCAAUCCGCUGAUAGAUGGGCUUGCGUCUGAUUAGAUAGUUGGUGGGGUAACGGCCUACCAAGUCGACGAUCAGUAGCCGGACUGAGAGGUUGAACGGCCACAUUGGGACUGAGAUACGGCCCAGACUCCUACGGGAGGCAGCAGUCGGGAAUAUUGCGCAAUGGAGGAAACUCUGACGCAGUGACGCCGCGUGCAGGAAGAAGGUUUUCGGAUUGUAAACUGCUUUAGACAGGGAAGAAAAAAGACAGUACCUGUAGAAUAAGCUCCGGCUAACUACGUGCCAGCAGCCGCGGUAAUACGUAGGGAGCAAGCGUUAUCCGGAUUUAUUGGGUGUAAAGGGUGCGUAGACGGUAAUGCAAGUUAGUUGUGAAAUCCCUCGGCUUAACCGAGGAACUGCAACUAAAACUACAUUUCUUGAGUGUUGGAGAGGAAAGUGGAAUUCCUAGUGUAGCGGUGAAAUGCGUAGAUAUUAGGAGGAACACCGGUGGCGAAGGCGACUUUCUGGACAACUACUGACGUUGAGGCACGAAAGUGUGGGGAGCAAACAGGAUUAGAUACCCUGGUAGUCCACACCGUAACGAUGGAUACUAGGUGUAGGGUGUGAUAAACAUUCUGUGCCGUCGCAACGCAGUAAGUAUCCCACCUGGGGAGUACGGCCGCAAGGUUGAAACUCAAGGAAUUUGACGGGGGCCCG